GUAAUUCGGUUUAGACAACACAUGUGUAACCUGGUCAAUUCAAUAAAUAUAAUAAAAUAUUUCGCAUGUUUCACAGGCAAUUGGAAUAAUAAUUCACCGGAUUUAUUAGGAUUUACGCAAUAAGGAUGUUUCAAAACCCGACUUUCACAAACCGGAAACGAAAGUCCGAUGUGAGAUCAGCGGUUUGUGAUUAAAGGGAAUGGGAUUUAAUUUGUCAAUGCUCCUGUAAAUUUAUCAUUUUGGAUUGAUGCGAAUCGAGGAAAGACAACCGAUGCGUUUACAACACACACUUUCGGAUAGAUCCGAAUAAUCCUGAAACAAAAGGAUGAGCAUUUAGAUGGGUGGGGGAAAUAAUGCAUUCAACAAAAAUGAGUAUGCAAGAGGUCACCAGAACUCAACAACUGAACAACAAUGAUUAAAAUGAGAUGUUCUUGUGAAAACUGUUGAAAAUAAAAAUUGUCUUUUCGAUGUCUUUUUAAGUUGUAUAAAAUGAUGCAUAAAUGUGAUAAUUCAAAUAAAUAAAGCAUCUUUUUGUUGAAUAGAAAUAAUGUUAAUUGGUUUAUGUUAUUCAAACAGCUAUGUUUCAAUGAUCCCAAUCGCUUAUGAUAACCUCCUACUCCAGAAUACAUAUACUAGUAUAAAUAAGCAUGGGUCUCCAAAUUAAGACCGAUAAUAAGACCACUUUUACCAGGACCCUUAAGUGGUCUGGAUAGCGACACUUUACUGUAUAUCCAAAGUGAUUUUAGCUCAACACUCCUGAUGUAGAGAGGAAAAUGAUAUUUGCCGUAAAAUACUAAUUCAUUUUGCAAUGUUAGUAAAUAUUACAUCUUGGAAAUGCUUUGUGGCUUAUGCUAUAUUUUCUUCUUAUAGUAUAUAGACAGCAGAAUAAACGUACAGUGCAUUAUGCGUACACGCGUAUGCCAGAAUCUGCUGACCAGUUAAACAUGUUGUAGAAACUGUUGACCAGUAACAG